rnacentral:rRNA from 1 species
CACGUAGGGCGCGAGCGUUGUCCGGAAUUAUUGGGCGUAAAGAGCUCGUAGGCGGCCUGUUGCGUCCGCUGUGAAAGCCCGGGGCUUAACCCCGGGUCGGCAGUGGAUACGGGCAGGCUAGAGGUAGGUAGGGGAGAAUGGAAUUCCCGGUGUAGCGGUGAAAUGCGCAGAUAUCGGGAGAACACCGGUGGCGAAGGCGGUUCUCUGGGCCUUACCUGACGCUGAGGAGCGAAAGCGUGGGGAGCGAACAGG